UGUGAAACCCUUAAAUUUAUUUUAAAUUUAUGUAAGAUUUGUGGAGUAUACUACAAAUUUCGGACAUCUCAACUUAUCAAACCAGUAUGACUAAUAUACCACAAUGUUUAACCCACAAAUCAUUCAUGCCUAGAAAACGUUUAGCCCAAAAAAGGUUAGAAUUACUUUCAAGACCACUAACAAUAUUAUCAUCAUCAUUGUUCUCAGGUAAGACCCAUUCCUUUUUACUCCAAACACGAGAACCAUAAGGCCAAGUAGUUUUAUCGACACGUGAAUCGAAGAGGUUACAAUCAAGGUUGUCAGAACCGGACUGGACCGGCUGAUCGGACCGUGAACCGGUCAUGAAACCGGCUUGAUUAUGAUAAAAAACUGGAUAGAAAACCAACCGGAAAAAAACAUGUGUGAAAUCUGGCACGCAGUGAACACAAUGCUGCACAAGAUGCUAUAACAUAUGUUGCAGCAAGACAGGCGCCGUAACAACCCAAGCCAUGACUCAAUAAAGUAGUAAGAUUAAAUGGGUUAUUGCAUAAAAUGAGGUGAUGCAAUAUAUGGAUUAAGUGAGAUAUGGAAGGUUAGUAAAUAUGAGAAACUUGGAAAUGGUAUCCUUGCAAUUAAGUGCACAUGUGAUCCUUAUAAAUAUGACUAUUAGUAGUGAAAGAGACUAAAAAGUAAGACCUCUUCCUUUCUCUUCCUGGCCUGACACUCCUUCUCUCUCUACCUCCAUGAGAGCUCAAAUUUUACUUUUUCAAAAUUCUUAUGAAUCAAGAGCUGCAUGUUACUCCAUAAGCUUCAGUGUACCCUUUUAACUCAAAAGAAUGAAUUUAUCCUUCAACCUCCUCCUCCAUCUUCAUUGUUAGAAAAACCCUUAUUCUCUAGAAAACACCAAUUCAUCCAAUUGCAUGUACAAAUCCUGGAGCAAAUCACCAAUCUGAAAGCAUCUUACAGGAAGGAAUUUGUGAAGAAAAGGUCAUGGGUGUUUGAGUAGAAGGUGAGAAAUCAAAGAUUAAAGGACUUGAAGUUGGUGGCAGCAGAAGCUGCAUUGUGGUUGUUGUUGCAGAGCAGUCUUGCUGCUGCAUGUUGUUGAUUCUCUCACUAUCAACCCCACUCUUGGUCAAAGAGACUUGAUUAAAUGUUUGGAGCUUGGCUUUGAAGGAAAAGUGGAAGUUGUGAAGGUAAGGAAAAUAUUCUGCAUAAUUUUCGUAUGGACAUACUCUCAGUAAUUGGGUGAUACCUUUCAAACCGUAACUCUGUUUCGAAUGGUGUUUACAUGUAUGGAAAGCUGACGAAAUUCUCGUCGUCUAGAUGCCAAUUUCGUAGAAUUUCGAUGAAUAUUGAGGUCUGGAGACCAGUUUGAAGUUAAAGGUCUGAUAUGGAGAUUAUGCAGAAAAAUUAGGAUGCGGGUUUAAAGUACUUUGGCUGGAAAUGUCGGUGGUAUUCUUCAAGCGUCAACUCAGAUAAGCAGGUUGAUCGAGAUAUCUUGGUUUGCUAACAUGAAGAUUCAAAUACGCGGAUUACGUUAGGGAGCUGACAUCAUGUUAAUCUUAUUAUUAUAUAAGAUUCAGUUUAUUUGAGUUCAGUAGUUAGCUUAAUCAUGUAUUUAUUUAGUGGAUUAUUGUAAUCCUAUUCAUGUAUUUGAUCUUUAUGUAAUGAUGAUUAAUGUUUCCCGAUUCAGUUAUGUUCACUCUUGUCGAUAUUCUAGAUAAAUUGACAUGGGGUGU